rnacentral:lncRNA from 1 species
GGAAAACUGCAAGGUCAUUACGAUCACUAGGAACAUUUCGUGGAGACGUCAUCUUGGACACAAUUCGUGGCUAACCACAGAGUGAGUUUAUUAUAUCACAUUGUAUUUAAAGCAUUCAAAUUGCCUUUCGUAUAAUUUAACCUUUUCUCCGUGAAAUAAUGGACAUGUAACCGUUCUUGUAAGUACAACAUUUUCUAGGAUGCAACGGA